UCCAGACUCCUACGGGAGGCAGCAGUGGGGAAUAUUGCACAAUGGGGGAAACCCUGAUGCAGCGACGCCGCGUGAGUGAAGAAGUAUCUCGGUACGUAAAGCUCUCUCAGCAGGGAAGAAAAUGACGGUACCUGACUAAGAAGCCCCGGCUAACUACGUGCCAGCAGCCGCGGUAAUACGUAGGGGGCGAGCGUUAUCCGGAUUUACUGGGUGUAAAGGGAGCGUAGACGGUUCUGCAAGUCUGAAGUGAAAGCCCGUGGCUUAACCGCGGAACGGCUUUGGAAACUGUGGAACUGGAGUGCUGGAGAGGCAAGCGGAAUUCCUAGUGUAGCGGUGAAAUGCGUAGAUAUUAGGAGGAACACCAGUGGCGAAGGCGGCUUGCUGGACAGUAACUGACGUUGAGGCUCGAAAGCGUGGGGAGCAAACAGGAUUAGAUACCCUUGUA
rnacentral:rRNA from 1 species